GAUGAAGAACGCAGCAAAAUGCGAUAAGUAAUGUGAAUUGCAGAAUUCAGUGAAUCAUCGAAUCUUUGAACGCACAUUGCGCCCGCCAGUAUUCUGGCGGGCAUGCCUGUUCGAGCGUCAUUUCAACCCUCAAGCCCUCGGGUUUGGUGUUGGGGAUCGGCGAGCCUUUCUGGCAAGCCGGCCCCGAAAUCUAGUGGCGGUCUCGCUGCAGCCUCCAUUGCGUAGUUGUAAAACCCUCGCAACUGGAACGCGGCGCGGCCAAGCCGUUAAACCCCCAACUUCUGAAUGUUGACCUCGGAUCAGGUAGGAAUACCCGCUGAACUUAAGCAUAUCAAUAAGCGGAGGA
rnacentral:misc_RNA from 1 species